GACGUAGGGCGCGAGCGUUGUCCGGAUUUAUUGGGCGUAAAGAGCUCGUAGGCGGCUUGUCGCGUCGUUCGUGAAAACCCGGGGCUCAACUCCGGGCUUGCGGGCGAUACGGGCAGGCUAGAGUUCGGUAGGGGAGACUGGAAUUCCUGGUGUAGCGGUGAAAUGCGCAGAUAUCAGGAGGAACACCGGUGGCGAAGGCGGGUCUCUGGACAGUUCCUGACGCUGAGGCGCGAGGCCAGGGGAGCAAACGGGG
rnacentral:rRNA from 1 species